AAAAAAAAAAAAUCAAAGAAGAGCAAAGUGAAAGACUCUUCCCGCAGGUGCUUGUUUGCCCGUCUCCUCGGAUCUGGACAAGGGGAGACGGCGCCCAGGGAGACCCCAGGUGGGCCCCAGAAGGACAGAGGGAGCUGGGUUUCCUGGUUACUCAGGGGAGGGACUGGCCUUGGGUGCACCCCACCCCAGCAUUUCGCCCUGUGCUGAAGACCACCACUGCAGCUGCCCAGAGAACACACCAGGACGGCAGGAGGGGACGUUGGCACUCACUGUGCCUCCUGGGUCUGCUGUCAAAUGUGCCAAAGCGAGAAGUGUGAUGGCCCUUCCGUGGUGGUCCCUGUCCACCCAUUGAUCCCACCAUUGUACCUUCUUACAUGAGCCUGAUCCUGUGUGUUCACGUUCACUCCUCCAUCUAGCCACCCUUCCUUCUCAUUUCUGACUAAUUUCAAAGUAAGCUACAGAUGUCACUACACUGUGUCAUCAUUUAUUAUGAUCAUUGGCUGCAUUUCAACUUCUGUGCCAGUUUUUACCUCUAUGUUUAGACUCAGUGAACGCACAGCUGUGCUCACUCCGCUCAGGUGGGACAGAUGCAAGAGGGACCCAAGCUCAGGGUGACCAAGGAUCACCUGUUUACUAUCAAGGACAGCACCCGGGACCCACCACAGAGGAGAUACAGAGGGUCGGGGCUGGGAGGUCUGGGGACCUCCAUGUCCUCCUCAGGGCUCUGUUACCGUGGGCUCAUUUGCUCAUGUUUUGAAGUCAGUGUCCCUUUAAGGAUAAGCAUCGAGUUAAGUGUUGUAGUUGGGCAAGUGCAACAGAGGGCGUGACCAAGCGCAGUGUGGGCUUCAGGAGUGUCCCAGAGAUCUGCCUGGGGCAGCAGGGGCACGGCCAGCAACUGGGUAGGCUGUGCACAGGGCAGCGCUGGAGGCCCUGCACCAGCGCUCCUCGAGUUGUGCCGUGUAAGACCUGCACAAGGAUUCAC
rnacentral:lncRNA from 1 species